CCGCGUCUGAUUAGCUAGUUGGUAAGGUAACGGCUUACCAAGGCGACGAUCAGUAGCCGACCUGAGAGGGUGAUCGGCCACAUUGGGACUGAGACACGGCCCAAACUCCUACGGGAGGCAGCAGUGGGGAAUAUUGCACAAUGGGGGAAACCCUGAUGCAGCGACGCCGCGUGACUGAAGAAGUAUUUCGGUAUGUAAAGGUCUAUCAGCAAGGAAGAAAUUGACGGUACCUGACUAAGAAGCACCGGCUAAAUAC
rnacentral:rRNA from 1 species